rnacentral:rRNA from 1 species
UCGAUUUACCUUCGGGUAUUGAGGAUGGCGGACGGGUGAGUAACGCGUAAGGAACUUGCCUCUUGGUCUGGGACAACUGUUGGAAACGACAGCUAAUACCGGAUAUUAUGAGAUUCUCGCAUGGGAAACUUAUGAAAGCUAUAUGCGCCAAGAGAGAGCCUUGCGUUCCAUUAGCUAGUUGGUGGGGUAACGGCCCACCAAGGCGACGAUGGAUAGCCGGCCUGAGAGGGUGAACGGCCACAAGGGGACUGAGACACGGCCCUUACUCCUACGGGAGGCAGCAGUGGGGAAUAUUGGACAAUGGGCCACAAGCCUGAUCCAGCAAUUCUGUGUGCACGAUGAAGGUCUUCGGAUUGUAAAGUGCUUUCAGUUGGGAAGAAGAAAGUGACGGUACCAACAGAAGAAGCGACGGCUAAAUACGUGCCAGCAGCCGCGGUAAUACGUAUGUCGCAAGCGUUAUCCGGAUUUAUUGGGCGUAAAGCGCGUCUAGGCGGAAAAAUAAGUCUGAUGUUAAAAUGCGGGGCUCAACUCCGUAUUGCGUUGGAAACUGUUUUUCUAGAGUACUGGAGAGGUGGGCGGAACUACAAGUGUAGAGGUGAAAUUCGUAGAUAUUUGUAGGAAUGCCGAUGGAGAAGUCAGCUCACUGGACAGAUACUGACGCUAAAGCGCGAAAGCGUGGGGAGCAA